CCUACGGGUGGCAGCAGUGAGGAAUAUUGGUCAAUGGGCUAAGGCCUGAACCAGCCAAGUCGCGUGAGGGAAGACGGUCCUAUGGCUUGUAAACCUCUUUUGUCGGGGAGCAACGAGGCCACGUGUGGCCGCAGUGAGAGUACCCGAAGAAAAAGCAUCGGCUAACUCCGUGCCAGCAGCCGCGGUAAUACGGAGGAUGCGAUCUUUAUCCGGAUUUAUUGGGGUUAAGGGGUGCGUAGGCGGAACAUUAAGUACGCGUGAAAAUCGAGGGGCUCAACCCCUUAAAGUCUUUGACACUGGUGAUCUUGAGUGGGCGAGAGGUAUGCGGAAUGCGUGGUGUAGCGGUGAAAUGCAUAGAUAGCACGAAGAACUCCGAUUGCGAAGGCAGCAUACCGGCGCCCGACUGACGCUGAGGCACGAAAGCGUGGGGAUCGAACAGGAUUAGAUACCCUGGUAGUC
rnacentral:rRNA from 1 species